UCGCAUACGAUGUGUAGCAAUCUAGGCACUUUCACUUGUUCGAGUUGUAAUUUGAAGAAGGUAUCUUUGGAGUUGGCCCCCGUCUAUGUUCCUUGGAACAGGACGUCACAGAGGGUGAGAAUCCCGUGCGAUGGGGAGACCAAUUCUAUGUAAAGUUCCUUCGAAGAGUCGAGUUGUUUGGGAAUGCAGCUCUAAGUGGGUGGUAAAUUCCAUCUAAAGCUAAAUAUUGGCGAGAGACCGAUAGCGAACAAGUACAGUGAUGGAAAGAUGAAAAGAACUUUGAAAAGAGAGUGAAAAAGUACGUGAAAUUGUUGAAAGGGAAGGGCUUUUGAUCAGACUUGGUGUUUAGUACUCUCUACUCCUUGUGGGUGGGGCUCUUGCUUUAUACUGGGCCAGCAUCGGUUUGGAUGGUAGGAUAAUAGCAUUGGAAUGUGGCUUCAUUCGUGAAGUGUUAUAGCCCUUGUUGAUACUACCUAUCUAGACCGAGGACUGCGUCUUUUGACUAGGAUGCUGGCGUAAUGAUUAAAAGCC
rnacentral:rRNA from 1 species